GUACUGAGGGCAUGAUCCAAGGCCCUCUGAAAUCAAUGGGAAUCUUUCCAUUGACUUCAGUGGUCUUUGGAUCGAAUCCUAAGCAC
rnacentral:pre_miRNA from 1 species